AGGUGCCAAGCGUUAGGCGGAAUCACUGGGCUUAAAGCGUGUGUAGGCGGAUCGUUAAGUGCCUGGUGAAAUCCCACGGCUUAACCGUGGAACUGCUCGGCAUACUGGCGGUCUUGAGCCAGCUAGGGGCUACCGGAACAAAUGGUGGAGCGGUGAAAUGCGUAGAUAUCAUUUGGAACGCCAAUGGUGAAAACAGGUAGCUGGGGCUGUGCUGACGCUGAGACACGAAAGCCAGGGGAGCGAACGGG
rnacentral:rRNA from 1 species